CGAGUUGGCUGGACGGUCGCGAAUCGGGGUGACCCGGUCCGAGGAAAGUCCGGACUCCGCAGGGCAGGGUGGUUGCUAACGGCAACCCGGGGCGACCCGCGGGACAGUGCCACAGAAAACAGACCGCCUCCGUCAGCGUUCGCGUCGACGGGGGUAAGGGUGAAACGGUGGUGUAAGAGACCACCAGCACCCCGGGUGACCGGGGUGGCUCGGUAAACCCCACCCGGAGCAAGGCCAAGAGGGAGCUGCCGCUCCUGCGCAGGCGCUUGAGGACGGCCCGUCCGAUGCCUGCGGGUAGGCCGCUGGAGCCUGCCGGCAACGGCAGGCCGAGAUGGAUGACCGUCGCCCGACCGGCCGAGAGGCCGCGCCGGGCACAGGAUCCGGCUUACACGCCAACUCGUCCG
rnacentral:RNase_P_RNA from 1 species